CCCCUGGCCUGCGCCCCAUUCUCUCCUGCCUGGGUCACUGUGAUUGCCUCCCGACUGGUGGCCUGGCUCCUGCCCCAUGAAGUCUGUCUCCCCACCCGGCAACCAGAGUGAUCCUAGGAGAAGCAGACAUGGAAAGCUGCGAAGGGCUCCCAGGGUAGCCCUGUGCACUGAGAGAUGCUGUCAGGAAAGGAAGAAACUCGGAGGACACUUCACCUUGUGUGACCACAGAUGUUCAGCAAUGCCCUCAUCACUCACCCUCGAUUACACCCUCGAUUACAGAAAUCACUCGUUGUAACUGGAAAUGCCUUGGAGAUAAGUUUGUCCAGAGGCUGCAAACCGGCAGCCGAGUGCUGGAUGGGACUCAGCGACCAGAUUGUUCUGUGGGGCCUGCACCACAUGUUGAAAACAACAAAAUCCCGGAGCGCCUGGGUGGCUCAGUCAGUUGAGCAUCUGACUUCAGCUCAGGUCGUGAUCUCGAGGUACGUGAGUUCAAGCCCUGCGUCAGGAAAUGUGCUGACAGCUCAGAGCCUGGAGCCUGCUUCGGAUUCUGUGUCUCCCUCUCUCUCUGCCCCUCCCCCAGUUGCAUUUGUCUCUCUCUCUCUCGUAAAAGCAAAUAAACAUCAAAGGCAAAAAAAGAAAAGAACAAAAUCUGAACAGCUGUGAGCGGUUGAGGAGAGUCAAGGUCCACAGACCCCACCACUCCGUACUGCCUCACACCUAGCCGGAUUUGCACAUUUGCUCUGCUGGCCUGGACCGCCGAGGAGAAGGCCAUCUGUGCACUUCACAGGGCUCUGCCGCUUGUGAGCACCUGCCCCUGUCUGCUGAGAGUGUGUCGACCACACGUAAGAGGAACCCCGGGGGACACCUGGCUGGCUCAGUCAGUACAACAUGCAAUUCUUGAUCUCAGCCUCAUGAGUUUGAGCCCCAUGUUGUGUGUCGAGCCUACUUAAAAAAAAAAAAAAAAACUUACAAAAAUUAAAAACAAAAGAACCCCAACAACAACGAUCAAAGAGGAACCGGGACCCUGGGCCAGCCGUACAUGACAAUCAUCCCACCCCACCCCUGACCACUGUGUCACACCCAGCUUCUGCUCCUUCUGUUUUUUUUUUUUUCUGUAAAUUUUAUGAUUUAACAAAUAUGCCAAAAAAAAGACUAAUAAUCAGUGUACAUUUGGGUGAAUUUUCAAAGUGAACACAUCCAAGACUUACAAGGAGCACCCAGAUAAAGAAAGAAAAUGCAGGGGUUGCCUGGGUGGCUCAGUCUGUUAAGCGUCCGGCUCUUGAUUUCGGCUCAGGUCAUCAUCUCAUGGUUAUGGAAUUGAGUCCCACAUCAGGACUCUGUGCUGACAGUGCAGAGCCUGCUUGGGAUCCUCUCUCUUCCCUUGUCACUUCCCCUCCUCUGCUCUGUCUCUCAAAAUAAAAAAAUAAACUUAAAAAAAAAAAGAAAAUGUAAAUAGCCCCCCUUCCAGUCACUGCUCUCCCAAAGGGUGACCAUUAUUCUGGUUCUUAUCACCAUUAGUUUUCCUGCUUUUUUUUAAAAAAAUUUUCCUGCCUUUGGGGCACCUGGGUGGCCCAGUCAGUGAAGCACCUGACUUCGGCUCAGGCCAUGAUCUCACCGUUCGUGAGUUCAAGCCCCACAUCAGGCUCUGUGGUGACAGCUCAGAGCCUGCAGCCUGCUUUGGUUUCUGUCUCCCUCUCUUUCUGCCCCUCUCCUGCUCAUGCUGUGUCUCUCUAUCUCUUGUCUCUCUCUCUCAAAAAUGAACAUUAAGAAUUUUUUUAAAAAGUGUCCUGCCUUUUAAUUUAUAUAAAUAUGAUAAUAUAAUACAUGCCCUUUGAACCUGACUUCUUUUCCUUAAUGCUGCAUUCCCGAGAUUUAUUCAUGUUGUGGCUUAUGCAUCCUCACUGCUGUAUAAAAUUUCAUGAUAUAACGUGCCACAGUUUAUUUAUUCAUUUAUUCAUUCAUUUAUUAUGCUGGUGGUGGACUUUGGGGUUGUUUCCAGGUUUGGCUUUUUCAGGCUAGUGCUUUCGCAAGCAUUCCUUGUCCACGUCGUGGAGAGCGUGUGCACACCUCUGUCUGGGAAAAGCUGAGUCGUAGGCGAGGCGUGUACUCUAUUUUAGCAGAGACUUGCCACCUUCCAAAGUGGCUGUGGCAGUUUCCACCCCCACCAGCAGGGUAUGAGAGUUCUAGUUGCUUCACAUUCUCACCGAUGCUUGACAUUAUCUGUCUUCCCACAUCUAGAUAAAUCUGGUGGGCGGAUUCUUUUGUUUUGACCACAUGUUCCGUCUCACUGGCGGUCUGCUCCAGCUCCCUCAGUUUGGGGAGGAUUCCGGAGAACCGGCUUCUCUGGUCCUCGACUCUCUCCCUGCAGUUUUGAUCUAUAGCUUGUGUCCACCCCUGCAGAUCUGUAACGGGCCUCUCAGCUGGGUUGGAGGACUCCCUUCCAUGAGGAGCACCCCACCCUCGGAUGACAGCAUCCCAUUGAGUGUGGACCACCAGUAAUGGGAAGGGGGAGGAAAGGCAUGGGGAAGGUCUUCUUCAAAGGCCACACAGACCUUCUCACGACCACAGCUUCCUCAGCUGCCACCUGUGGACCUUUUCCAGGCGUUAUCACUCUCAAAACAUUGCGUAGGGAUCAAAAAUAAUCAAACAGCGCCUUGCUGGCUCAGUCGGUAGAGCAUGCGACUCUUGAUCUCGGGGUCACAAGUUUAAGCCCCACAUUUGCAUAAAGCUUACUUAAAAAAAUUAGAGGGGCACCUGGGUGGCUCAGUCGGUUAAGCAUCUGACUUUGGCUCAGGUGAUGACUUCACAGUUCGUGGGUUCAAGCCCUGCGUUGGGCUCUGUGCUGACAGCUCAGGGCCUGGAGCCUGCUUCGGAUUCUGUGUUUCCGUCUCUCUGUCCCUACCUCGCUUGUGCUCCCUUUCUAUUUCUCUCAAAAACAUAAAUAAAUAAAUAUACAUUUAUAAAAUAGAUAUAAGAGCUAAAAUUGUAAAACUCUUAGAAGAAAACGUGGGGUAAAGAUUCAUGACCUUGGACUUGUCAUUGGUUAGAUGUGACUAUGAAAGCACAAUCAAACGAAACAGUAGAUAAGCUGGACAUCAUCACGAUCAAAAACUUUUGUUUUUCAAAGGACACUAUCAUGAGAGAAAAAAAAAUGACCCACAGAUGGGAGAAAACAUCUGCAAAUCAUUUAUCAGUUAACAGGCUUGUACCUAGAAUACGUAAAGAACUCUUGGAACUCAAUAAUAAAAAGACAAAUAACUCAGUUAAAAAUGGG